rnacentral:tRNA from 1 species
GCCGAGGUGGCGGAAUUGGUAGACGCGCACGACUCAAAAUCGUGUAUCGAAAGAUGUGGGGGUUCGAUUCCCCCCCUCGGCACAA